rnacentral:lncRNA from 1 species
UUAAAGCUUUAGACCUAAUCAUGGUGAGAGGAAACCAGAGUACCCAAAAGAAUACAGGGCUGAAGUGAACCCACAAGAGCUGUAUUUCACAGAUAUAGGACAGUUCACAGAGACCACCAGUGCCCUGAGACUGAUUACCAACCACUAGUGCGUCAAAGCCGUG